rnacentral:tRNA from 1 species
AAUAUUAUGUCUGAUAAAAGAAGUAAAUUGUAAAUUUAUAUAUGAAAAUUAUUUUUCUAAUAUUA